rnacentral:rRNA from 1 species
AUACGUAGGGGGCGAGCGUUGUCCGGAAUGAUUGGGCGUAAAGGGCGCGUAGGCGGCGCGGUAAGUCUGGAGUGAAAGUCCUGCUUUCAAGGUGGGAAUUGCUUUGGAUACUGCCGCGCUUGAGUGCAGGAGAGGUUAUCGGAAUUCCCGGUGUAGCGGUGAAAUGCGUAGAGAUCGGGAGGAACACCAGUGGCGAAGGCGGGUAACUGGACUGCAACUGACGCUGAGGCGCGAAAGUGUGGGGAGCAAACAGGAUUAGACACCCUGGUAGUCCACACUGUAAACGAUGAAUGCUAGGUGUAAGAGGUAUCGACCCCUUUUGUGCCGGAGUCAACACAAUAAGCAUUCCGCCUGGGGAGUACGGCCGCAAGGUUGAAACUCAAAUGAAUUGGCGGGG